GCACAAGCGGUGGAGCAUGUGGUUAAUUCGAAGCAACGCGAAGAACCUUACCAGGUCUUGACAUCCCGAUGCUAUUCUAGAGAUAGAAAGUUACUUCGGUACAUCGGUGACAGGUGGUGCAUGGUUGUCGUCAGCUCGUGUCGUGAGAUGUUGGGUUAAGUCCCGCAACGAGCGCAACCCCUAUUGUUAGUUGCCAUCAUUCAGUUGGGCACUCUAGCGAGACUGCCGGUAAUAAACCGGAGGAAGGUGGGGAUGACGUCAAAUCAUCAUGCCCCUUAUGACCUGGGCUACACACGUGCUACAAUGGCCGGUACAAAGGGCAGCGACACAGCGAUGUGAAGCCAAUCCCGAAAAGCCGGUCUCAGUCCGGAUUGGAGUCUGCAACUCGACUCCAUGAAGUUGGAAUCGCUAGUAAUCGCGGAUCAGCACGCCGCGGUGAAUACGUUCCCGGGCCUU
rnacentral:rRNA from 1 species